rnacentral:rRNA from 1 species
UCUGAGAGGACGACCAGCCACACUGGAACUGAAACACGGUCCCGAAACCUACGGGUGGCAGCAGUCGAGAAUUUUUCACCAUGGGCGAAAGCCUGAUGGAGCGACGCCGCGUGGGGGAUGACGGGCUUCGGUCCGUAAACCCCUGUCAUUCGCGAACAAGUGGUUUGACCUAACACGUCAAACCUUGAUAGUAGCGGAAGAGGAAGGGACGGCUAACUCUGUGCCAGGGGCCGCGGUAAUACCGAGGUCCCAGGCGUUGUUCGGAUUCACUGGGGGUAGAGGGUGCGUAUGCGGACGGGUAAGUCUGAUGUGAAAUCUCCGAGCUCAACUCGGAAACGGAAUUGGAUACUAUUCAGCUUGAGGAUUGUAAGGGAGACUGGAAUUC